rnacentral:Y_RNA from 10 species
ACCUGGUCUGAAGAUAGUGAGGUACCUCCCUUGAUUGUUCAGAAUGAAUUGGAUGACAAACUCCUUCUACUGUUUCCCAUUCUCACUAAUACACUUGACUAGUUAUUU